rnacentral:tRNA from 1 species
GGUCGAGUAGCUCAGUAGGCAGAGCACACGCCUGAAAAGCGUGGGGUCACCGGAUCGACGCCGGUCUCGACCACCA